AUAUAUCUUGCAUACACAAGCGCAAUUCCUAUGAACCAAACUAGUUUACUGUGCUCCACAAGUACAUUCAUGAGGAAUUGCAUCCUACAUCCAUCAAACAAAUUAUAAUUCAUCCACUAACUAAAAAUCCUGUUUUUUAAAUAUACAAUGUACACAUUAUAGAUUAUUGCUAUAUUACCCUUGCAACCAACCGGUGAAACCUGCUGACAAAAAUAAUUAAAAAAUAUAUAAAAACUUUUAGCCACAUCUUCUAAUCCAUCACCACCACCU
rnacentral:lncRNA from 1 species